rnacentral:tRNA from 1 species
UGGGUUGUGGCUCAGUGAUACAGUGUAUGCCUCACAUGCGUAGGGCACUGGGUUCGAUCCUCAGCACCACAU